AUUGAACGCUGGCGGCAGGCUUAACACAUGCAAGUCGAGCGGGGUGAUGGUGCUUGCACUAUCACUUAGCGGCGGACGGGUGAGUAAUGCUUAGGAAUCUGCCUAUUAGUGGGGGACAACACCUCGAAAGGGAUGCUAAUACCGCAUACGUCCUACGGGAGAAAGCAGGGGAUCACUUGUGACCUUGCGCUAAUAGAUGAGCCUAAGUCGGAUUAGCUAGUUGGUGGGGUAAAGGCCUACCAAGGCGACGAUCUGUAGCGGGUCUGAGAGGAUGAUCCGCCACACUGGGACUGAGACACGGCCCAGACUCCUACGGGAGGCAGCAGUGGGGAAUAUUGGACAAUGGGGGGAACCCUGAUCCAGCCAUGCCGCGUGUGUGAAGAAGGCCUUAUGGUUGUAAAGCACUUUAAGCGAGGAGGAGGCUCUUUUGGCUAAUACCCAAGAUGAGUGGACGUUACUCGCAGAAUAAGCACCGGCUAACUCUGUGCCAGCCGCCGCGUAA
rnacentral:rRNA from 1 species